CAUAAUGGGUCUACGGAAACCAACAAACGCUCUCCAAUCGAGAUAUUCAAGCUUCUCCCUCUUACCAGCAUAUCUAAGCGAUCCCAGUAACUGACUAGCCAACCAGGGUGAUUUGUACUGCCCCAUCUGACAUCUCACACGGGUCGGAGCUGACCGCCGCGGUCUGGCAGCGGGUUGAGCAGUUUGUUUUUUGGCUCAUUCCCCGCAGUUGGGCGCGCCAAAAGUCCCUCUCCAAAAUCCUUGGGGGAUCUGUUUCACGACAAAUUUCUUAUUUUGUGUAGUCUUUCAACCUAGAAUCACUUCUUCUUCUACUUUGGGAAAAACCCUAUUUCAUUCCCCAAAACAGCUAUGUUUCAUCUCAAGGUGACUCUCAAUCGGUCCAUCAGUACUGGCUUUGUUCUGAUUUCUUCAUCGAAGACUAUUCCCUAUCAGAAUUCAGGUUGAUGACAUGAACACCACUUCCCAUUGGAUUUUCCCAAGUUCAAAUCCCAACACUUGGCAUGCUUCUGCAUGUAAUGCCAGAUUUGAAAUGGUUUAAGAUUUCAUGCAAAAAUGAAACAAAAUUGGGAAAGCUGCGGUUGAUGCAUACAAGGAUAAAGCUCAUAGCUUGUCGAUCUUUGCUACGUUGAUUCUCACUGUGGUUUCAUGAAUUUGUUGGUGCUUCAAAAGUGUCAAUGUGCUUACAGUUUGUCUACGUCAAAUAAAUAUUAAAUAGAUUAAUUUUGUUCAAAUUUACAUUCUGUUACCCCACCUCUCUAUGUUAGUGUGCACCUUUUCCCUUUUGGUUGUGUAAGACCAUCUCCAACCCAGCGCCUUUUGUUUCAUCAAAUUUAAAUUUGAUGAAAAAACCUACAUUUUGUUGCUCCAACCCUUUCAUCAAAUUAGUAUCAAAUUCAGAAUUUCUUAAAUCUUUCAUUAAAUUGAGGAUGGAUGUAUCUUUCAUCAAAUCACUGUUCAUAACUGUUGGAGCUGCAGGUCAUUUUCACCACCAGACCAUCAGCUGGAUGUUCAGCCGAAUGUCCUCCCGGAUGAUCACCUCCUUGCGAAAAUUUGUGAAAAAUUACACUAGCUAGUCAACCGGCUGGACAUCUGCCCGAUCGACCAAUGUUUUGAUGUUAGUCCGUUGGAGUGCGUGAUAUCAGAUGAAGUUUUUACUCAAAUUUGUUAAAAAAAAUAUACAACGUUGGAAAUAUUAUAAGUUACUCUUUUUUGUUACUAUUCGCUCUGGAAGACGGUACUUGUAUUUUUAAAUUAUUUCUUAGUUGUAGAAUAUCCUUUUCUUCAUCAUUUCCAAUGUUAAUAACUUUUUAUUUUAUUUUAUAUAUAUUUGAUUUUAUAGAUUUGAAUACUCAAA